rnacentral:rRNA from 1 species
AGGGUUUGAUUCUGGCUCAGGAUGAACGCUGGCGGCGUGCCUAACACAUGCAAGUCGAGCGAACUUCUUCGGAAGUGAGCGGCGGACGGGUGAGUAACGCGUGGGUAACCUGCCCUAUACACACGGAUAACGUACCGAAAGGUACGCUAAUACGAGAUAACAUAUUUUUAUCGCAUGAUAAGAAUAUCAAAGCUCCGGCGGUAUAGGAUGGACCCGCGUCUGAUUAGCUAGUUGGUAAGGUAACGGCUUACCAAGGCGACGAUCAGUAGCCGACCUGAGAGGGUGAUCGGCCACAUUGGAACUGAGACACGGUCCAA